rnacentral:rRNA from 1 species
AUUGAACGCUGGCGGCAGGCCUAACACAUGCAAGUCGAGCGGCAGCAGAGUGAUUGCUCCCUCUUUCGGCUGGGGAGUGGCGGGCAAUGGCUAGGAACAUCCCUGGUUAUGGUUGCGUACGUCCGGAAAUGGGGGACAUUACGCUAUUACUCCUUAGGGCGUACGGGGGGGAUCAUGGGACCUUCCGACCUUUUACGAGUCUAUGUCGGAUUAGCUAGUUGGUUGGGUAAAGGCCUACCAAGGCGACGAUCCGUAACUGGUCUGAGAGGAUGAUCAGUCACACUGGAACUGAGACACGGUCCAGACUCCUACGGGAGGCAGCAGUGGGGAAUAUUGGACAAUGGGCGAAAGCCUGAUCCAGCCAUGCCGCGUGUGUGAAGAAGGUCUUCGGGUUGUAAAGCACUUUAAGUUGGGAAGAAGAGCAGUAGGUUAAUACCUUGCUGUUUUGACGGUACCAAAAGAAUAAGCACCGGCUAACUUCGUG